GACGAACGCUGGCGGCGUGCCUAAUACAUGCCAGUUGAGCGCUGAAGGUUGGUACUUGUACCAACUGGAUGAGCAGCGAACGGGUGAGUAACGCGUGGGGAAUCUGCCUUUGAGCGGGGGACAACAUUUGGAAACGAAUGCUAAUACCGCAUAAAAACUUUAAACACAAGUUUUAAGUUUGAAAGAUGCAAUUGCAUCACUCAAAGAUGAUCCCGCGUUGUAUUAGCUAGUUGGUGAGGUAAAGGCUCACCAAGGCGAUGAGACAUAGCCGACCUGAGAGGGUGAGCGGCCACAUUGGGACUGUGACACGGCCCACACUCCUACGGGAGGCGGCGGUGGGGGAUCUUCGGCGAUGGACGCAAGACUGACCCAGCAACGCCGCGUGAGUGAAGAAGGUUUUCGGAUCGUAAAACUCUGUUGGUAGAGAAGAACGUUGGUGUGAGUGGAAAGCUCAUCAAGUGACGGUAACUACCCAGAAAGGCACGGCUAACUACGUG
rnacentral:rRNA from 1 species